rnacentral:rRNA from 1 species
AACGCUGGCGGCAGGCUUAACACAUGCAAGUCGAGCGGGCGUAGCAAUACGUCAGCGGCAGACGGGUGAGUAACGCGUGGGAACGUACCUUUUGGUUCGGAACAACACAGGGAAACUUGUGCUAAUACCGGAUAAGCCCUUACGGGGAAAGAUUUAUCGCCGAAAGAUCGGCCCGCGUCUGAUUAGCUAGUUGGUGAGGUAAUGGCUCACCAAGGCGACGAUCAGUAGCUGGUCUGAGAGGAUGAUCAGCCACAUUGGGACUGAGACACGGCCCAAACUCCUACGGGAGGCAGCAGUGGGGAAUAUUGGACAAUGGGCGCAAGCCUGAUCCAGCCAUGCCGCGUGAGUGAUGAAGGCCCUAGGGUUGUAAAGCUCUUUUGUGCGGGAAGAUAAUGACGGUACCGCAAGAAUAAGCCCCGGCUAACUUCGUGCCAGCAGCCGCGGUAAUACGAAGGGGGCUAGCGUUGCUCGGAAUCACUGGGCGUAAAGGGUGCGUAGGCGGGUCUUUAAGUCAGGGGUGAAAUCCUGGAGCUCAACUCCAGAACUGCCUUUGAUACUGAAGAUCUUGAGUUCGGGAGAGGUGAGUGGAACUGCGAGUGNAGAGGUGAAAUUCGUAGAUAUUCGCAAGAACACCAGUGG